UAUUUAGUGGGAACGUGAUCACAAAACUCUUUGAAACGUGGAGCGAUGAAAACUAAAGGGAUUGUUUGGUCCAUGAGUUUGGAAUCAGGGAGGUUUGGUACUUGAAGCAUACAAUUUUCGUUUACUGAUGUUAUUAUGAACCAUACCAUUUUCGUUUAGGAUCCAUCUCUCAGCUUGCUGGGACCAUUAUUCACUGCAAUAGGAGGGAGAUCAUUUUCUAUGUUCUGCCUGAUAAUUGAUUCUCUGUCAUUCAUCCGUCCUCUCGGCACGAUGCUCUAAUCAUUUAUGCUAAUAUUGAAAGGAUGAAAGCCCUAUGGCAGCAGAAUAAUUUAAAGAAUCAUUUUUCAAAUUAAUUUGGAAAUCUUAAAAUACCGGUACAUUGGCAAAAUUUUAGAAUCAAAAUUCUAAAUAAAUUCUAAGUAUGCUUUUAAAGAAUAAGAUACAAUAACUUACUUUCGAUGACGUCUCUGAAUUUACAAAUCAAUCUCCAAAUUAGGACAUCACCCGUCGGAGACUUUCCUAUCAUUUGGGAUGAGAUUGGUUUGUGUGAACCAAUUGAGAUGGAAAAAUACUUGGAGAUAUUUGAGAGAAACUCUUUUUUCUCUCAAUUU
rnacentral:lncRNA from 1 species